rnacentral:rRNA from 1 species
UACGUAGGGUGCGAGCGUUAAUCGGAAUUACUGGGCGUAAAGGGUGCGUAGGCGGUUGUUUAAGUCUGUCGUGAAAUCCCCCGGGCUCAACCUGGGAAUGGCGAUGGAUACUGGACAGCUAGAGUGUGUCAGAGGAUGGUGGAAUUCCCGGUGUAGCGGUGAAAUGCGUAGAGAUCGGGAGGAACAUCAGUGGCGAAGGCGGCCAUCUGGGGACAACACUGACGCUGAAGCACGAAAGCGUGGGGAGCAAACAGG